UACGUAGGGUGCAAGCGUUGUCCGGAAUUAUUGGGCGUAAAGAGCUCGUAGGCGGUCUGUCGCGUCUGCUGUGAAAACUCGGGGCUUAACCCCGGGCCUGCAGUGGGUACGGGCAGACUAGAGUGCGGUAGGGGAGACUGGAAUUCCUGGUGUAGCGGUGGAAUGCGCAGAUAUCAGGAGGAACACCGGUGGCGAAGGCGGGAUCCUGGGCCAGUACUGACGCUGAGGAGCGAAAGCGUGGGGAGCAAACAGG
rnacentral:rRNA from 1 species